CUGGUUUUUGCUCCCUCUCUUCUCUUUCUUCCCCCUCUCAAACUCUCUCUCUUCAUUUUUGUUUUUGUUUUUGUUUUUGUUUUGUUUGUUUUUUUUUUUUACAUUUCUCCUUUCAUAGUUUCUACUUUGAUACAGAUCAAUCUAUAUCUUAUACAUAUAAAAAAAAUCAGAAAAACAUCAUUAUGUGUUGAGAAAUAACAACGGAUCACAUUUUUUUUGAGCUUGUUUUCGUUUGCAUCAUCACACCAAUAAUAAUCACUGAGCCCCUCUUUUUCUCUCUUUGUUAUACCCAAUAGGAAAUUGGAAUUCGCUCUUCUUUCUUUCUUUUCUUUUUUUUGAAAUUUUAUUUUUGGGUUUGGAAGUGUUGUGGCAAAAAAAGAUGAGCGGUGGCGGGUUGAGGGGUUCAAUCCCAAGCGGUGUGAGGAAGACGAUCCAGAACAUAAAGGAGAUAACGGGUAACCACAGUGAGGAUGAGAUUUAUGCAAUGCUCAAGGAGUGUUCCAUGGAUCCCAACGAGACUACACAUAAGCUUCUCCUUCAGGACACAUUUCACGAGGUCAAAAGAAAAAGAGACAGAAGAAAGGAGACUCCGCAGAAUGUUAAUAACCUAGAGUCUUUGGAGUCACGUUCAAGGCCUGGCACCAAAGGACGAGGGGUUAGGGGUGGUCGGGGAAAAUUUUCGCCUCAUCAAACAUUACAUGAUGGCCUUCUUUCAGAUGCUGGUGAUGAUAAGAAUUCUGGUAUAAGCAAAGAUAGUGGAACCAAUCAAGCGACUGAGAAGGGUGUACCACCACCUUUGUCAGCUUCUCAAGAGACAAGGACUAAAGAAAAAAGUUCAGGAACAAGCUCUCUUCCUGUCAUUGCCAAUGGUCCUACAAGUGUAGCACCUGGAACUACUAGUGGUAUUCAUGUUUCUGUUUCAUCUACCAGAAAUGUGGACAGAACCAGUCCAUCUUCUGGUCGUAAUAAUAGUUUGGGUGGUGCCUUUCCUGCUGAUAGUUCAUUAGACAAAGGUGCAAAGAAUCCUUUGGGAAGUGAGCCUGUGUCUUCCACCAGUGAUUACUUAGGGUCUAGUCCUGCAUCGUCAUCGACUGUCUGUUUCUCCUCCUCCGAUCCAGUACUGGUUCCAUAUAGUGAUUCACGUUUGCCUGGUGCUGUUGGUGCAAUCAGUUGUGAAGUGGGAAGCCAACGUCCUCCUGGGAAAUUAAAUGCUGUUAAUACUUCAGACAGAAAAUCAGCGGCUGCUUUGGAGACAGAUAGCUCUUCUUUUCAAGGAAAGAUUCAUGGAAAAUCCCGGGGAGUGGCAAAGAAUCACUUUACUGAGGGGCUGUCUUCAUCAACAAUAAUGCAGGGGAGCUCUUCACGGCCUUCCUCUAACCACAGUAAUCGGUCACAGCAAUUAACUGGCCCUCAGAAAGCUGGUUUUAAUAAGGAGUGGAAACCAAAGUCCACAAGUACAAUUAGCGGGGGUUCUGGAUCAGCUAGUUUAUCUGAAUCUUCUGCUGAAACAACUGGGCAGUUACAAUCUGUGUCUAAGGUCGUUGACUCUGGAGAAGCUGCUUCUAUACUACAGAGGAAGAUGGAGGAUUUACAUCUUUCACCACGUCAACAUGUUAAACUUCCAAACCAUAUCUUGGUGCCUGAUUCUGAGAAGAAUAAGUUUAGCUUUGGGAGUUUGGGGUUCACUUAUAGGGGUAAUACAAGUUAUGAUAGUGGCCCAGAGAAUGAAAAGAGUUCUAUGCCACCUUCUGAAGUAUCACAGGAUGUUGAAGAAACUGCAGAGGAGUCGGCCCCAAGCAGUCACAAUGCUCCAGUUACAACUGUUGUGGAAGAUUAUACUGACCAUCCACAAUCACCCACUACUAUGCCUGAGAAUUUAUCAUCUGGUGAGGUUGUAGUGUCAUCUCCUGCUAUUCAGGAGUAUAAUGAGUCCAAGCAAGAUGCUACUUUGCCAUCUGGAGAUAAUCAGUGCUCUCUGGUGCAUACUUCUCAAAAAUACAGUUCAAGUUUUAUGCCCCCAAUGUCGGGAACACAGUCUGCACAAUUUGAUAAAUCUGACUCUCAAGCUCAUGAUAUUUCUCAACUUCCAAGCUUUGUUGUUCAUCAACCUAUUGAUCCAACUAGUUAUUAUGCCCACAUUCAUCGGUCUGGUGCUGACAGUGAUGGUCAUCUAUCCUCUUUUCCCUCUACUGAGGUUACAACUAAGUACAAUGGCAAUGCUGCAGUGCUGCCUGCACCAAAUUCUCAGUCUGUUCAUGAGGGAGGUGUCUUGUCUACAGCUGGUACAACACCACUUGUGACUCAAGCUGCUGGGGUCAUGCAAAACCCAAUAGCUGUUACUCAACAGCAACAACAACAGCCUCUCCCCAUCUUUCGACCGCCAAGUGGGGUUCAUAUACCGCAUUACCCUCCUAACUAUGUUCCUUAUGGUCAUUACUUUUCGCCAUUUUAUGUGACGCCACCCGCAAUCCACCAGUUUUUGGGUAAUGCUGCAUUUCCUCAACAACCUCCUCCAGCAGUGGCUGCAGCAGGGAUGAAAUAUCCUCUUGCACAGUUCAAACCUGGAACAAAUGCUGCUAAUUCAACUCAUUUUGUUGUGCCAGGUGCCUAUGGCGCAUAUGGCUCCUCCCCCGCCGGUGGUUAUAAUCCAAGUUCUGCAACAACUGCCGGGAUUUUAACCUCCAAUGAGGAUCUUGGUGCACCUGGUCCUGACAUUUCCAGUAGUUCAUUCUACAACCUUACACCUCAGGGUCAGCACAUGACUUUUGCCCCUACACAGGCUGGCCAUGGCACAUUUCCUGGCAUCUAUCACCCCACGCAAGCAGUGACUGCUGGUGCAGUCCAUCCACUUCUGCAACAAUCCCAGACAAUGGCCGGUGCAGUUGACAUGGUAGGUACCGGUGGCAGUGUUUAUCAGCAACCACAGCAUGCGCAUAUCAACUGGCCAGGUAACUACUGAAUCAAGCAAGCAUGGACAAUCACAUCCUGACUGAUGAUAAACCAGUCCUAUCAGGCAAAAUUUUUGGAAACUCUAAACUAUUGUUGGAGUUCCUGGUGGAAUGACGGCACGGAAAUUGGUUGCAUUUGAAUGUAAGAAGCUGGAAAAUUGAUCUACUAUUUGCCUGGGUGGAGGAUAUGCAAGUUAAUUGCUGCUUGAUUGACGCAUGGAUUACAGUCAAGUGUGGGGGAAAAGACUUAAUGUACUUCAUUCCAAUCAUAGAUUUUUGUGUUACUUGGCUAUGCAUUGCAUUGAUUUCCGAUCUCACUUUUGUUUCUUUGGCCAUGCCUCAUUUUUAAUCGUUGGCUGUGUUACACGAUUUAUGACAUGUUCAAAUAAAUUUUUCUAUACAUAUAGGAAAAAAUAAUAUGAAAGGAAAA